GACGAACGCUGGCGGCGUGCUUAACACAUGCAAGUCGAACGAUGAAGCCGGAGCUUGCUCUGGUGAAUUAGUGGCGAACGGGUGAGUAACACGUGAGUAACCUGCCCUUGACUCUGGGAUAACUGCGGGAAACUGUAGCUAAUACCGGAUACGACCAUCGGAGGCAUCUCCUGGGGGUGGAAAGAAUUUCGGUCAAGGAUGGACUCGCGGCCUAUCAGCCAGUUGGUGAGGUAAAGGCUCACCAAGGCGACGACGGGUAGCCGGCCUGAGAGGGUGACCGGCCACACUGGGACUGAGACACUGCCCAGACUCCUACGGGAGGAAGCAGUGGGGAAUAUUGCACAAUGGGCGCAAGCCUGAUGCAGCAACGCCGCGUGAGGGAUGACGGCCUUCGGGUUGUAAACCUCUUUUAGCAGGGAAGAAGCGAAAGUGACGGUACCUGCAGAAAAAGCACCGGCUAACUACGUGCCAGCCGCCGCCGUAA
rnacentral:rRNA from 1 species